GACGAACGCUGGCGGCGUGCCUAAUACAUGCAAGUCGAGCGGACUUAAAAAGCUUGCUUUUUAAGUUAGCGGCGGACGGGUGAGUAACACGUGGGCAACCUGCCUGUAAGACUGGGAUAACUUCGGGAAACCGGAGCUAAUACCGGAUAAUCCUUUUCUACUCAUGUAGAAAAGCUGAAAGACGGUUUACGCUGUCACUUACAGAUGGGCCCGCGGCGCAUUAGCUAGUUGGUGAGGUAACGGCUCACCAAGGCGACGAUGCGUAGCCGACCUGAGAGGGUGAUCGGCCACACUGGGACUGAGACACGGCCCAGACUCCUACGGGAGGCAGCAGUAGGGAAUCUUCCGCAAUGGACGAAAGUCUGACGGAGCAACGCCGCGUGAGUGAUGAAGGUUUUCGGAUCGUAAAACUCUGUUGUUAGGGAAGAACAAGUAUGAGAGUAACUGCUCGUACCUUGACGGUACCUAACCAGAAAGCCACGGCUAACUACGUG
rnacentral:rRNA from 1 species